rnacentral:lncRNA from 1 species
UAUCAAGAUUUGCUUCAAAUUAUCUCUUGAAAUACAUGAACUUUGAUAAAUGAAAUUUAUCUUUGUGUCCACAUUUUAUUUUGAACUUUUUUAACUCGUCAGUCUUGGAUUAGUGAGGGAAGUAGGAAAUGAAGGGAUGUGACAUGUCAAGGCCCGAGAGGUUUCAACAUUGCUCAGUUCAUUCUAACAUGUAGUGUACAUGUAUAAAAAUGCAAGCAUCUAAAGCAUGACGCUCAUUUCGUUAGCAACUGCGAGAAUCAUUUUCUCGCGACAUCAUACAAGAAAUUCGAGCCUAUUUUGGACCGCGUAGAGACUGACUUCUUCAAUUACGUCUCAACAUGCUUUCUGAUGCCAUACUGUCCAAGGAUAUAAACAACAUAGCCUUUAUGGUUUGCUUCUCGAUCGACACUCAAGGCAAUGUCGUGCUCUGGCCAGGAUUAUCGAGCUUCUAUUCUGCACAAGAGGAAAGCGAGCGAUGCACAUAUGUAGCAGCAACAUAGAAAUUUAGGAGUGGUAUAGAGAAAUCAGUUAUUUAAGAAUAUAGAGAUGGAGCAAGUAGUAAGAGUUGUUCAACCUUUUAUAGCGCAAUUGAAGUGUCCGUGAAGCUCUUGCACAUUCAAUUGUUGGUGUAUUUACAAGGUCAUGCAAAAAAGUAGAUGUACACAUGGUGUACAGGAACAUAAGAUUCAUGCAGAUGAAUUUGUU